rnacentral:rRNA from 1 species
UACGUAGGUGGCAAGCGUUGUCCGGAUUUACUGGGCGUAAAGGGAGCGUAGGCGGAUGUUUAAGUGGGAUGUGAAAUACCCGGGCUCAACUUGGGUGCUGCAUUCCAAACUGGAUAUCUAGAGUGCGGGAGAGGAGAAUGGAAUUCCUAGUGUAGCGGUGAAAUGCGUAGAGAUUAGGAAGAACACCAGUGGCGAAGGCGAUUCUCUGGACCGUAACUGACGCUCAGGUGCGAAAGCGUGGGGAGCAAAC